AUUGCUUCAUGUCAUUGCAUAUACUCUUUCAUUUAUUAACACUCAUGUAGUAAUUAUUUAUCUUAUUCUUCUGCUGUUAUUCUGUUUAUCCAAGUUUCCGUUUCCAUUACGUCUAUAUUUUCCUAUUUAAUUUUAGUCGAUCUUCGGUUUUCAAUAUUUUUCUAAGGUUAGGUUCGUAUUGCUUCAUGUCAUUGCAUAUACUCUUUCAUUUAUUAACACACACGUAGUAAUUAUUUAUCUUAUUCUUCUGCUGUUAUUCUGUUUAUCCAAGUUUCCAUUUCCAUUACGUCUAUAUUUUCCUCUUUAAUUUGUUGUCGAUCUUUAGUUUUCAAUAUUUUUCUAAGGUUAGGUUCGUAUUGCUUCAUGUCAUUGCAUAUACUCUUUCAUUUACUAACACACACGUAGUAAUAAGGUUUUCUCGGACAGCUGUACCCAAGGCUUCGUUUUGCCUUCGUUAAAACAUCGAACAACUACGUCACAAAGAGGGAAGGGAAAGCACACCAUAUGUAGCCUUAGCAUAGUCCACCGUCACGCCCACACAUGUAUACGUAGCAACUGUUUUCGUCUCAGUAAUUACGUAUGACUGAAAGUUUGAAAUGAUGGUAAUUACGUAUGUCCGUCUUUGCCUAACACGAAAGACAAGGUUAAAGAAUGAUUACGACUUGAAUACGUCCGAUGUUCGUGCCUUUUCUGUCUUAUAUCACGAAAACAUCAAUUAUUUUUAGCGAUAGAAGAGGGAAGAGCGUAAGAAACCAUUAUGGAAAGCUUAAAAUGAUAGUAAUUACGUAUAUCUGUCUUUGCCUAACACGAAAGACAAGGUUAAAGAAUGAUUACGACUUGAAUACGUCCGAUAUCUGUGCCUUUGCUGUCCUAUAUCACGAAAACAUCAAUUAUUUUUAGCGAUAGAAGAGGAAGGAGCGUAAGAAACCAUUAUGGAGAGUUUAAAAUGAUAGUAAUUACGUAUAUCCGUCUUUGCCUAAUACGAAAGACAAGGUUUAAAAAUGAU